UGGCUGUCGAGGGGUUUGGGUAUACUACUCAGCCCGCUGCUCACACUCUCACUGGCCCUGCAGAAGAGUUACCCUCGGUUGCAGUGUGGUCAGUGAUAUAUACAAAUAAUUUUUCGCACAUUGUGAAAAGUGAAAAUUAGUUAGAAAAAUAAUUGUCAGUGCAUUCUUUUAAAACCUACCAAAAAAAAAAAAAAAAAAAAAAAAGCGCGUGAUGUGGUGCAUAAUACAUAACUACAGUGCAUACUACAAAGAGAUCAGCUGAAUAUUGUGUAAUAUGUGAUUUCGUGAUUGAAAAGCGCGCGUUUGAGCCCUUUCAGUGCUCGCAGGAGGGCUAGUCAAAUUAUUUUUCUAAUAUAGACGAAACCCUCACAAUAUGUGAGUGAGAUGGUUAUCCAGAAGGCAACGAGUUCAGGUA